rnacentral:rRNA from 1 species
UACGUAGGGGGCAAGCGUUAUCCGGAUUUACUGGGUGUAAAGGGAGCGUAGACGGCCAUUCAAGCCAGAUGUGAAAGCCCGGGGCUCAACCCCGGGACUGCAUUUGGAACUGUGUGGCUAGAGUGUCGGAGAGGCAGGCGGAAUUCCUAGUGUAGCGGUGAAGUGCGUAGAUAUUAGGAGGAACACCAGUGGCGAAGGCGGCCUGCUGGACGAUGACUGACGUUGAGGCUCGAAAGCGUGGGGAGCAAACAGG